rnacentral:lncRNA from 1 species
AAACAUGUUAAAAAAUCCCCGAAGGUGCGUCCGAUGUUGAGGGUUCGUGUUGAGUUCGUAUCACCAUCCUCACCAUCGUAAUGUCACCAGGAAUGCAUCUUUGAACAUCGUAUUGCAUUCGUGUUUCCAUCGUUUCCAUCGGGCAGUUUUGACAUUACGAUGUCUACACGAAUGAAUCACGAAGUUACCCGAAGGUCUUCCGAUGGCCACACGACUUCGUGGAGACCUCGUAAUCCCGUCGUGUUGCCAUCGAAUAAAAGUACGAAGGCGACAAGAUGGAACUACGACGGCAAUGAAUCCAGCUAAAUGUAAGUUAAUUUU